GACAAAGAGCAAAGUGAUUUACAUUUCGGGUGGGAACUUUGGACAGGAAAAAAAAGAGAGGGAGAGAGAAAUAUGACUGGCAUUUACACCCUAGAUCCUGGCACCCUAUCAACAACCAACGCUGCAUCAACAGCUAAUAUUAUCCUGAGCCUGGAGACUUCACAGCAGCAGUGCUAGACGAUCGAGACUGUGGGCAGCUGUGUUGUGAGCAGGAAUGUGAACGGAGGCGUAGAUGUGUAUCUGACCAGUGCAGUCACCUGUGACGGUGUCUCUAGGACUCUCAUUCAUUCCAAACAAACAGACUCCUGUCCCUGUAAACUCAGGAUGUGGGGACCCCCACCUUGCUCCGCUGUGACCCCAGCGUUCUGGUCAACCCCCACCCCCUGCGUGCAUCCUGUCAGUGGGCUUGUCGGCAUGCUGGGCAGCGCCCCGAGCCUGGAGCCAGGAGAGAUGGGAGAGCCUCCACUACACUAUGGUACACACACAACAACCAAUAACCCCCGCCCCCCCCCACCAUCUCUGCCUGCUUCCUCUACUCAAUUGCUCAUGUCCAACUCGACCCAAGGAGAAAAAAGGACGAGAGAGGGGUAUGGAGAGAGAGAGAGAGAGAGAGAGAGAGAGAGACAGAGAGAGACAGAAAGAGGAGGAAGAAGAGAUAAGAAAUGGAAUACUGGGGGGGAGGGAUAGGGGUGUAAGAGUGGAGGAGAGGGCAGAAUAGAGAACAUGACAGACAGGGAAAGUGACAGACAAAGAGAUAAAGAGACAAAGUGAAAAUAAGAGAAAGGGAGAGAGAUAGAGAGAGAGAGUGUGUGAGUGUGUGUGUGUGUGUGUGUGUGUGUGUGUGUGUGUGUGUGUGUGUGUGUGUAUUGUGUGGGUUGCAUAUGGAGCUGACGCCCUCAUCCUGAGUUCCGAGCAUGUUCUUUUUUAACAUUCCAUUCUCCCCCCCACACCCUCCACCUCCCCACUCCCCUUCCACCAGCAGCAGCAGCAGCAGCAGCAGCAGCAGCACAACCAUGACCACGCCAAGCGCUGCUUCCUGCUUCACACCCAGGGCCGCCGGACCACCCUCCCCACCCUAACCCGCGCCUCGAGGGCCAGUCCCGUCCGGCCGGCCCAGACUCCGGGACUCCUGGAGAAUCACCUUCCACUCUCCACUCCCCUGCGGCUCUGUGGCAGAGGUGGGCAGGCGCGAGGGGACAGGACAGGACACGACAGGACAGGUCAGGUCAG